rnacentral:rRNA from 1 species
AACGAACGCUGGCGGCAUGCCUAACACAUGCAAGUCGAACGAAGCCUUCGGGCUUAGUGGCGCACGGGUGCGUAACACGUGGGAAUCUGCCCUUCGGUUCGGAAUAACAGUUAGAAAUGACUGCUAAUACCGGAUGAUGACGAAAGUCCAAAGAUUUAUCGCCGAAGGAUGAGCCCGCGUAGGAUUAGGUAGUUGGUAGGGUAAUGGCCUACCAAGCCGACGAUCCUUAGCUGGUCUGAGAGGAUGAUCAGCCACACUGGGACUGAGACACGGCCCAGACUCCUACGGGAGGCAGCAGUGGGGAAUAUUGGACAAUGGGCGAAAGCCUGAUCCAGCAAUGCCGCGUGAGUGAUGAAGGCCUUAGGGUUGUAAAGCUCUUUUACCUAGGGAUGAUAAUGACAGUACCUGGAGAAUAAAGCUCCGGCUAACUCCGUGCCAGCAGCCGCGGUAAU